AACGAACGCUGGCGGUGCGCCUAACACAUGCAAGUCGAGCGCGAAAGUCCCUUCGGGGGCGAGUAGAGCGGCGGACGGGUGAGUAAUACAUGGGUAAUCUACCCCCGAGCUUGGGAUAACCCCGCGAAAGCGGGGCUAAUACCUGAUAAGACCACAUAACACAAGUUGUGCGGUAAAAGGUGGCUUGAAUUUAUUCUAGCUAUCACUUGAGGAUGAGUCCAUGGCCUAUCAGCUUGUUGGUGAGGUAAGAGCUUACCAAGGCUAUGACGGGUAGCUGGUCUGAGAGGACGACCAGCCACACUGGGACUGAGACACGGCCCAGACUCCUACGGGAGGCAGCAGUGGGGAAUAUUGGGCAAUGGGCGAAAGCCUGACCCAGCGACACCGCGUGGGUGAUGAAAGCCUCGGUGUUAAGACCUUUCGUUCGGAAGAACUAGUCGUCGGUUAAGUACCGCGGAACGUUAGUACGGUACCGCGACGGAAGAAGGACAACCGGCCGAACUACCGUACGCCACGC
rnacentral:rRNA from 1 species